ensembl:snoRNA small nucleolar RNA, C/D box 98
GAGUAAUGAUGUUUUAAACCUAUUCCAUUUCUGAAAUGCUGUGGAAAAAAAUUAGCUGAACUC